GUGGAUUAGAUACCCUGGUAGUCCUGGCCGUAAACGAUGGGUACUAGGUGUAGGAGGUAUCGACCCCUCCUGUGCCGGAGUUAACGCAAUAAGUACCCCGCCUGGGGAGUACGUCGGCAACGAUGAAACUCAAAGGAAUUGACGGGGGCCCGCACAAGCGGUGGAGUAUGUGGUUUAAUUCGACGCAACGCGAAGAACCUUACCAAGGCUUGACAUUGAUUGACCGCUCUAGAGAUAGAGCUUUCCCUUCGGGGACAUGAAAACAGGUGGUGCACGGCCGUCGUCAACU
rnacentral:rRNA from 1 species